UUAUUUAGCAAUGUUCCUCUUUGCUUAUAUUUUCUUAUUAGUGUUUUCUAUUAAAACUUUUUUUAGUUUAUAAUGUAUCUUAUUAUUACUGCAUUUUCGUAAUAACACGCCACAGAUUCUUCAUUUUAAAUUAAACUUUAACUAUGCAAAUUUUUUAUAAUUAAUUCUAUGUAAACUUUAUUUCAAAAUAUUGAUUUAGUGAUAAAAGGACAUUUAAUAUUAAAAAGUGAAAAAAUAUAGAGAAAGUAUAGAUAAAAAAUUGUAUUUUUAUAAUGAAUUUCAAAUUUUUGAAAGAAUAUAUGAAUGCAAAUGCAGUGGUAAUAAACACUAAUUAAACAAAUUAAGGGUUUUUAUUUAUACCUAUUUUUAUAUGAAAAAUUCUAAAGCGCAUAAGUUAGUAUAAGUGGGUAUAACAUAUUUUACUAAUAUUUGACUGGUAUUUUGUUUCUUUGUAUGUGUUUUUUUACUUCCUGAACUAUCGCCAAAGUUUGUUUUAUUAUAUAAAUAUAUUCUUUUGUUUUAAGGAUGAGUAAAAGACAAUUAUAAACUCGAAAUAUUUGGCAAUGUAUUAUAUUUCGGGAACGCUAUAUAGCAACUAAUAGUAUAUAUUAGCGUGUUUUUUAUAUUUUUUACAUAUUUCAACGAUGCAUUUCAUAAUUCAAUAUUUGUGUGUGUCCAUUUCAUAUCACUUUUCCGAACAUGAUUAUUUAGCCAAUAAAAAUUUAUUACCAUGGUAAAUUCACAUUUACGAACAACUAAAACAAUAAUUGUAAGAUCAUCAAAUUAUUGAUAAUUUACACAACAUCCUAUGUGACUGAAAUUAAUAAAUAAACGGUUAUAAUGGUAAUAAAAUGAAAGGGAACAUCGUACUCUCAACAUAUAAUUUUUGAUGUUUAUAUUUAUAUUUAAGGAUAUAGGAAACAUUCCAAAAAGACAUGAAAGAUUUCGAAUCUUGAGAUAUGCACAUGUAUUGUUUCAUACAGUAUGAAAAGUAAACAUAGGUAUACAAGAAUCUUUCGUGUAAUCAUAUUUGAUGACAUUAUUAUAUCAUUCUAAAAUAGCGAAUACUUUGAAUUUAUCGCAUGCGUGAAACACGAUUAUCUUACAAUUAAAUGUGUGACAAGAUAUCUCGAAUGGUUGCAUCUUUAAGGAAAAAGAAGCGGUACUUUAUUAAAUGCAGAAUCAACUAAUUUUUUAAA